CUAUACAUGCAGUCGAGCGAACUGAUUAGAAGCUUGCUUCUAUGACGUUAGCGGCGGACGGGUGAGUAACACGUGGGCAACCUGCCUGUAAGACUGGGAUAACUUCGGGAAACCGAAGCUAAUACCGGAUAGGAUCUUCUCCUUCAUGGGAGAUGAUUGAAAGAUGGUUUCGGCUAUCACUUACAGAUGGGCCCGCGGUGCAUUAGCUAGUUGGUGAGGUAACGGCUCACCAAGGCAACGAUGCAUAGCCGACCUGAGAGGGUGAUCGGCCACACUGGGACUGAGACACGGCCCAGACUCCUACGGGAGGCAGCAGUAGGGAAUCUUCCGCAAUGGACGAAAGUCUGACGGAGCAACGCCGCGUGAGUGAUGAAGGCUUUCGGGUCGUAAAACUCUGUUGUUAGGGAAGAACAAGUACAAGAGUAACUGCUUGUACCUUGACGGUACCUAACCAGAAAGCCACGGCUAACUACGUGCCAGCAGCCGCGGUAAUACGUAGGUGGCAAGCGUUAUCCGGAAUUAUUGGGCGUAAAGCGCGCGCAGGCGGUUUCUUAAGUCUGAUGUGAAAGCCCACGGCUCAACCGUGGAGGGUCAUUGGAAACUGGGGAACUUGAGUGCAGAAGAGAAAAGCGGAAUUCCACGUGUAGCGGUGAAAUGCGUAGAGAUGUGGAGGAACACCAGUGGCGAAGGCGGC
rnacentral:rRNA from 2 species